UCACGCUGUAAACGAUGUCGACUUGGAGGUGUGCCCUGAGGCGUGGCUUCCGGAGCUAACGCGUUAAGUCGACCGCUGGGGAGUACGGCCGCAAGGUUAAAACUCAAAUGAAUUGACGGGGGCCCGCACAAGCGGUGGAGCAUGUGGUUUAAUUCGAUGCAACGCGAAGAACCUUACCUGGCCUUGACAUCCACAGAACUUAGCAGAGAUGCUUUGGUGCCUUCGGGAACUGUGAGACAGGUGCUGCAUGGCUGUCGUCAGCUCGUGUUGUGAAAUGUUGGGUUAAGUCCCGCAACGAGCGCAACCCUUAUCCUUUGUUGCCAGCGAUUCGGUCGGGAACUCAAAGGAGACUGCCGGUGAUAAACCGGAGGAAGGUGGGGAUGACGUCAAGUCAUCAUGGCCCUUACGGCCAGGGCUACACACGUGCUACAAUGGCGCAUACAAAGAGAAGCGACCUCGCGAGAGCAAGCGGACCUCAUAAAGUGCGUCGUAGUCCGGAUCGGAGUCUGCAACUCGACUCCGUGAAGUCGGAAUCGCUAGUAAUCGUAGAUCAGAAUGCUACGGUGAAUACGUUCCCGGGCCUUGUACACACCGCCCGUCACACCAUGGGAGUGGGUUGCAAAAGAAGUAGGUAGCUCAACCUUCGGGAGGGCGCUUACCACUUUGUGAUUCAUGACUGGGGUGAAGUCGUAACAAGGUAACCA
rnacentral:rRNA from 1 species